UACGUAGGGGGCAAGCGUUGUCCGGAUUUAUUGGGCGUAAAGAGCGUGUAGGCGGCCAUGCAGGUCAGCUGUGAAAACUCGAGGCUCAACCUCGAGACGUCGGUUGAAACCGCAUGGCUAGAGUCCGGAAGAGGAGAGUGGAAUUCCCGGUGUGGCGGUGAAAUGCGCAGAUAUCGGGAAGAACACCUAUGGCGAAGGCAGCUCUCUGGGACGGUACUGACGCUGAGACGCGAAAGCGUGGGGAGCAAACAGG
rnacentral:rRNA from 1 species